rnacentral:rRNA from 1 species
UACGUAGGGGGCUAGCGUUGUCCGGAUUUAUUGGGCGUAAAGAGCGUGUAGGCGGCCAGGUAGGUCUGCUGUGAAAACUCGAGGCUCAACCUCGAGACGUCGGCGGAAACCAUCUGGCUAGAGUCCGGAAGAGGAGAGUGGAAUUCCUGGUGUAGCGGUGAAAUGCGCAGAUAUCAUGAAGAACACCCGUGGCGAAGGCGGCUCUCUGGGACGGUACUGACGCUGAGACGCGAAAGCGUGGGGAGCGAACAGG